GGGGAACAGACACAGAAUAGAGAGAGAGAGAGAGAGAGAGAGAGAGCGAUGUCACUGAAAUAUUUUCUGUUAGUUCUGCUGAUUUUCUGUCUGCUGUCAGAUUGCGACGGCAGAAAAAUGAAAGGAAACAAAACCAAAAAAAAGAAAACUUCUUUCAUCAAAACAGCCAAAACUAUUCAGGAGCAACUUGAUCCUGCUGGAAUAAUAAACCCCUCCAGAAAGACCUCCAGAGCCACAGACCUGGCAAAACUAACAGAGGAGAGCAUUGUGAAUGAACAUGUGCGA